rnacentral:rRNA from 1 species
CCUACGGGGAGCUGCAGUAGGGAAUAUUGCUCAAUGGGGGAAACCCUGAAGCAGCAACGCCGCGUGGAGGAUGAAGGUUUUCGGAUUGUAAACCUCUGUCCUCUGUGAAGAUAAUGACGGUAGCAGAGGAGGAAGCUCCGGCUAACUACGUGCCAGCAGCCGCGGUAAUACGUAGGGAGCAAGCGUUGUCCGGAUUUACUGGGUGUAAAGGGUGCGUAGGCGGCUUUGCAAGUCAGAAGUGAAAUCCAUGGGCUUAACCCAUGAACUGCUUUUGAAACUGCAGAGCUUGAGUGGAGUAGAGGUAGGCGGAAUUCCCGGUGUAGCGGUGAAAUGCGUAGAGAUCGGGAGGAACACCAGUGGCGAAGGCGGCCUACUGGGCUCUAACUGACGCUGAGGCACGAAAGCGUGGGUAGCAAACAGGAUUAGAUACCCCUUGUAGUC